rnacentral:rRNA from 1 species
GAUCCUGGCUCAGAUUGAACGCUGGCGGCAGGCUUAACACAUGCAAGUCGAACGGUAACAGGGAUUAGCUUGCUAAUUUGCUGACGAGUGGCGGACGGGUGAGUAAUGCUUGGGAAUCUGGCUUAUGGAGGGGGAUAACUACGGGAAACUGUAGCUAAAUACCGCGUAAUAUCGGAAGAUUAAAGGGUGGGACUUUCGGCCGACCUGCCAUAAGAUGAGCCCAACGUAGGGAUUAGGUAGUUGGUUAGGUAAAGG